UGGGGAAUAUUGGGCAAUGGGCGAAAGCCUGACCCAGCAACGCCGCGUGGGGGAUGAAGGCCUUAGGGUUGUAAACUCCUUUUAUUAGGGAAGAUAAUGACGGUACCUAAUGAAUAAGCAUCGGCUAACUUCGUGCCAGCAGCCGCGGUAAUACGAAGGAUGCUAGCGUUACUCGGAAUUACUGGGCGUAAAGCAUGCGUAGGCGGGAUGCUAAGUUGAUAGUGAAAUCCCCAAGCUUAACUUGGGAAUUGCUAUCAAAACUGACAUCCUAGAAUAUGAGAGGGAGUAAGGGAAUUCCUGGUGUAGGGGUAAAAUCCGUAGAUAUCAGGAGGAAGACCGGAAGCGAAAGCGCUUACUUGGCUCAUUAUUGACGCUGAGGCAUGAGAGCGUGGGGAUCGAA
rnacentral:rRNA from 1 species